AGAGCCAAUCGAAACCCGGGGCAGGUCCCUCCAGAAGCAAGCGCGCGGGCGCGCGGCCCCGAGGAAACGGCGUGAUGGACGCGGUCCUUCUGGGCGCCCGGGCUCAGCUCCACCCGCAGCCGCCCGAGGGGUGGCCGCCCGUGAGCUCCGAGGAGGAGCUCUACGAGAGCCUGGAUUACUACUACCUGCGCGACUUCCCGGCCUGCGGGGCCGGGCGCAGCAAGGGUCGGACGCGGCGCGAGCGGGAACUGCGCACCAACUGGCCAGUGCCCGGCGGCCACGAGCGCAAGAUCGCGCAGAAGCUCCUCAACGGCCAGCGCAAGCGGCGCCAGCGCCAGCUGCAGCCCCGGGCGCGCACUCGGCUCGUCUGAGCGCAGUUUUCUGCAGGAUACCCGAAGGCCCUGAUAAAAGUAUUAUCUCUGACUCCAGCUGUAACUGGUCGAAAGGGGGAGAAUCCAUGUUGGUCAACAUAGCUUCUUUUCGACAUCGCUUAAGUUUACCGCUUCAGUAUCUUUUCCUUACUGAUUGUUACUAACAUCCAAGUGUCCAACUGCUACGGUAACUCGUUUCAAGACCGCAAAUGAACAAAUAAGUUCAUCUUAUGGGUAAAGAAGAUGAAUGGGGGAAACAAAGAUAGGAAUCUGUACAAGAUUUUAUAGAUGUGGUGUGCAAGUUUAAUAUUUGCCAGAAUAGGAAUAUUUUCCGUUGUAAUAGUGUAUAUCGAACAUUUGCUAGGUUCUCUGCAAUGUUGAUCUCACAACAAGCCUUUCAGGUGGGCGCUGCUAUCUCCCAUUUUGUAGAGGGGAUUCUGAGGCAAAGCAGUUUCAAGUCACUUUUCAGAGGUCAUACAGCUGGUUACAAAGACGACCAGGUAUAGCAGAUACUUGAAAGCAUUCCCUCCUUCCGGCAUCACAGUUUUCCUCUAUCAUAUGCAAUAUUCUGUUCAGAACCACCCACAAACUCCACGUCCAAAGACAAGGGUUGAGCUGUGGCCUAAAGAUUAUACCCACAAUGUCAGUGUCAUGGU